CCACACCAGCCUUCCCUCAUCCCAACACCUGACUGCAGGCAGAGUGGGAGGGGGAGCAGGGAGGGGUCUUAGCCCCACUAGUGCGCAUGUGUGCGUGCUCAGUCCCUUCAGUUGUGUCCGACUCUUUUCGACCCCGUGGACUGUCGCCCACUAGGCUUCUCUGUCCUUGGGAUUCUCCAAGUGAGAAUACUGGAGUGGGUUGCCAUGCCCUCCUU
rnacentral:misc_RNA from 1 species